CAAAUCCUUCUCGCCGGAUUUUUCUCAACUCUCCUUCUCGCCAGAUUUUUCGCCGGAGGUAAUGUUCUUCAAUCGUUCAUUUCUUAAUCGUUCAUUUCAAUCGUUCAUUUCAAUCUACCAAGUAUUAUUGAUUAUUGAUUUCAAUCGUUCAUUUCUUCAUUUCCCCAAAAUCGUUCAUUUCUUCAUUUCUUCAAUCCACCAAGUAUUACACACCAAGUUUCAACUUCUUGUUUCCUUCCGAAAAAUCCACCAUGUAAUUAACUUUGUACCGUCCUCCGGAAGUUGCCCAGCUGGAUCCGUCCCAUAUGGUAGCAUAUAACGACAUGGGUUUCGAAGGGAAAUGGCCGGCGAUAGUUUCGUUCCUUGUGACUUUCCUGAUCGGAAUGUCGUCGAUAAAGAAUCUGCGUUCAAAAGAAAGAUGUCAUCAUAAUUGACAAACGGGUAACAAAAUCCAAGUCUAUGAACCCUGCUAAUUUCCUGUUCCGCAUUCCGAUCCCCAAAGAAGUAGUUGUAGUAGUAUAAGAAGAAAUAAAAUCUUAAAAUCUAAGAGCUUGUGUUUGUGUUUAGUUAAUACUUACAUGAUGAGAUUCUGUCCAAAGAAAACCGUAAUGGUGGAAAUCCUCUGUCGGAUCGAACCAAAGUUGAUAUCUUUCUUCUUUGCCAAUUGAUGUACUUCCAUUUCCAUACAUAUUGGUCUGCAAUCGCCACUCUUUCCCUCUGACGUUUCCCAGAAACUCGAAAUCCAAUUCGUCAUGGGUCUUCUCGAAAACAUCCCCAUUUGACAACUGCAUCAACAUACGAAAUUAUCUGAUUUCUUCAAUCCACCAAGUAUUACACACCAAGUUUCUUCAAUCCUUCAUUUCUUCCGAAUAUUGUUUGUGGGACAAUAUCAUUCCCACAAACAUUAACAAGAUAGAAAUUCAACUCUUUUCCGAUCCGAAUAAUCUGAUUGCAGUUCUCAACUUUUCUGAAUGGCAUUUUUAUUGGAGGCUUUGAAGCGUGCUUCCAAAUCACUGAUCCUGGAUAUACUUUAUGAAGUACUUCGAGAAGUACCCAUCUGCUCACAUUAAAUAUGAUAUUAGAUUGCAGCCUCUUGUCAUUUCCAACGAACUAAAAACGACGAUUAUUUGGUGUACAAAGGUGGAUCGGGUUCUUUUGAAGCCAACUCUCAUGCAUUAGUAAGUUUAUAUUUUAAAUUCAUUUCAAUUUAAAUAUUUUAUGAAUUAUUUUAACUAGAUUUUUUCGUAUAGAGUCUCAAAUUAGGUCGAAAACCGUCAUUUCAAGAGGCAUUCUUGUCAACUCAUACGCCGUUAAAUGAUAGAGGAAAAACUAUGAUGGUGAGUGAUCAUUUAUUAAUUAUUCAUAAUAUAUUUAUUUUUUCUUAAUUAUUUCAUAUUUGAUUUUCGUAAAGGCCGAAUAUGAAAAUUUGAAUGAAGAACUUCGAAGACAAGAAGACAGUGAUUCUGAUGACGAUAGCGAAGAUGAAAAUUUAUCGUCUCAAGGUUCAACUACAUUUCAUACGAAGCCUCUGUUUAAAAACGAUCAUAUUGGACCUUGGCUGAAAGCAUCAAAGGGAAAGAAAUAUGGGCG
rnacentral:lncRNA from 1 species